rnacentral:ncRNA from 1 species
UGUAGAAUUAUUAUAUCAUAUUAGAUAUUAUCAAUUUUGUAAUUGUAUGAAUGUAUGCUAUUUUAUUCUAUUAUAUCCCAGAAUGCAUGUCGUAAUGGAUAUUCUCAUUUAAUAUUAUGUUAUACUUUAUUAUAUUACCGUUAUACUUAUUUUCACCCUUGUUUGGCUCCUACGCCAUAUUGUGUAACAGCCAUCAGCGCUGACAAGAGCGUGCUGCUCUUUCUUUUGACGGCUUCAACAGGCAACAUGCUAAAACCUAACAUAGUUCAUAAUGGCAUGUACACACAAUGUCAGUGCAAUAGUUGAGUCUGACAUCAAUACAACUACUGAAGUCAAUUUAAUAUCACAAUUGCAGAUGUUUAUUUUUCAUUUUGCUCACUCAAGCAAAACAUUCAUGGGAUUCAAAUUUGGUAUUUUCUGCAGCAAAUUAUAAUAUCACAAUUAUAGGUGAUUUGUGGAUCACAAAUAUAGGUUUAGAAUUGGAAAUAGGAGAUGUAAAAUAUAGUGACAUAGUCUUAGACGGACAAGCGGCAUGUAGCCACACAUGAUAGAGCAAUAACAAGUCUGUGAUGCUCUUAGAUGCCCAAGGUUGCACGUGCAUUGAAGGAAUCAGCAUGUACUUUUCCUGCCCGACCUCCUUCGUGUUGGGGAUAGGGACUUGUAACUGUUCUCCUAGGGUAAGAAAUUCCCAAUAUGCCUGAUUCAUAAGCUUGUGUAGAUUGUGUCCCUGUCUUUUGUACACACUGCCAUUCAGGCUCAGUG